AGAGCAGGACGGGGCCGCUCCGCCUACCCCGCCUGAAAAGCGGAAGGUCGGCGGUUCGACCCCGCCCCUAGCCA
rnacentral:tRNA from 2 species